UUGAUCCUGGCUCAGAAUCAACGCUGGCGGCGCGCUUAACACAUGCAAGUCGCACGAGAAAGUGGAGCAAUCCAUGAGUACAGUGGCGUACGGGUGAGUUACACGUGGAUCAUCUACCUUCUAGUGGGGAAUACCCCUGGGAAACUGGGUACAAUACCGCAUAAGCUCGUAAGAGGAAAGCAGCAAUGCGCUGGAAGAGUAGUCCGCGGCUGAUUAGCUAGUUGGCGGGGUAAUGGCCCACCAAGGCGAUGAUCGGUAGCCGGCCUGAGAGGGCACACGGCCACACUGGCACUGAAACAUGGGCCAGACUCCUACGGGAGGCAGCAGUGGGGAAUCUUGCACAAUGGAGUAAACUCUGAUGCAGCGACGCCGCGUGAGCGAUGAAGCCCUUCGGGGUGUUAAGCUCUUUCGACGGGAACGAUAAUGACGGUACCCGAAGAAGAAGCUGCUGCUAACUACGUGCCAGCAGCCGCGGUAAUU
rnacentral:rRNA from 1 species